rnacentral:misc_RNA from 1 species
GAACUGCGAUAAGUAAUGUGAAUUGCAGAAUUCAGUGAAUCAUCGAGUCUUUGAACACACAUUGCGCCCCCUGGCAUUCCGGGGGGCAUGCCUGUCCGAGCGUCAUUGCUGCCCUUCAAGCCCGGCUUGUGUGUUGGGUCGUCGUCCCCUCCGGGGGACGGGCCCGAAAGGCAGCGGCGGCACCGCGUCCGGUCCUCGAGCGUAUGGGGCUUUGUCACCCGCUCGAUAAGGACCGGCCGGGCGCCAGCCGGCGUCUCCAACCUUUUUUUCUCAGGUUGACCUCGGAUCAGGUAGGGAUACCCGCUGAACUUAAGC